AUUGAACGCUGGCGGCAUGCCUUACACAUGCAAGUCGAACGGCAGCGGGGACUUCGGUCCGCCGGCGAGUGGCGAACGGGUGAGUAAUGCAUCGGAACGUACCCGGAAGUGGGGGAUAACGUAGCGAAAGUUACGCUAAUACCGCAUAUUCUGUGAGCAGGAAAGAGGGGGAUCUUCGGACCUCUUGCUUUCGGAGCGGCCGAUGUCAGAUUAGCUAGUUGGUGAGGUAAAGGCUCACCAAGGCGACGAUCUGUAGCGGGUCUGAGAGGAUGAUCAGCCACACUGGAACUGCGACACGGUCCAGACUCCUACGGGAGGCAGCAGUGGGGAAUUUUGGACAAUGGGCGCAAGCCUGAUCCAGCCAUGCCGCGUGAGCGAAGAAGGCCUUCGGGUUGUAAAGCUCUUUCGGCCGGGAAGAAAUCGCAUGGAUUAAUACUCUGUGCGGAUGACGGUACCGGCAUAAGAAGCACCGGCUAACUACGUGCCAGCCGCCGCCGUAACAC
rnacentral:rRNA from 1 species